CUAACAGGUGUCUGGCACUUCAUCACCCUGAACAUAGUGGGAAGGCUAUAAUUGGCUUUCUUUACUAAGAGGGAGGAACCAAGCUCCCUGAGUGAAUGAUGGUUUGACUUUUUCUGUGAAGAACAAGCAUAAAAGGCAAGAAGAACCUGAGGACAGGUUUUAGUGAAGAUUCUCCCAGGACACACUGAUCUGCUAGGUGGUUCCCAGCACCAAGCCUAGCCAAAGUGCUACACCUGCUAAAGGAUGUUUCCUCUGUUAUCCGUUCGGACAAGCUAUUAGGGUCUUGCUAAGUUUUUGAAGCUCGACUGAAACAUGCAAACCACCUGUGUCAGCCUCCCAAGUUGCUGGAAAUACAGGCAUCCACCAUGGCACCAGACUAAAGAAGAAUUUUCUGAGGAUAAUAUUGGCACUAUACAAUUUUGCCUUACUAAUUUUCAAGCUUAACCUCAAAUGAGAUGACUUAUGUAUACAGACAACCCUAAGGAAACAAAAACAAAACCUAUUAGAAUAAACAACUUCAGCAAGGUGCAAGACACAAGACAAAUAUACAAAAAUCAAUUAUAUUUCUGUACAUUACAAUAAACAGGGGCUGGGGAUGUGGCUCAAGCGGUAGCGCGCUCGCCUGGCAUGCGUGCAGCCCGGGUUCGAUCCUCAGCACCACAUACAAACAAAGAUGUUGUGUCCGCCGAAAACUAAAAAAUAAAUAUUAAAAUCUUUCUCUCUCUCUCUCUCUCUCUCUCCCUCCCUCUCUCACUCUAUCUUAAAAAAAAAAACAAUAAACAGUCUGAACAUGAAACUAAGAAAUAAAUUUCAUCUAUGUUAACAUCAAAAAGAAAAAAUAAACCAGGCAUGGGGUUGUACUCACCUGUAAUCCCAGCUACUUGGGAGGCUGAGGCAGGAGGAUUGCAAGUUUAAGGCCAGCCUGGGCAACUAAGUGAGAUCCUGUCUCAAAACUUAAAAAAAGAAAAAAAAAAAGAAAAAAUCAGAAUAAACUUAGUAGAAGUGAAUACUUACAACUGAAAACUAUAAAACAUUAUAGUUUUAUUAUUGUAAGACAUUAAAAAGAUAAAUGAAAAGACUUCCCACAUUUGUGAAUUGGAAGACUUAAAAUUGUUAAAUUAUUAAUACUCCCCAAAUUGAUGUGCAUAUUCCAUGCGAUCUCUAUCAGAAUCCCUGCUAGCUUCCUUAUAGAAAUUGAGAAGCUGAUUCUAAAAUUCAUAUGGAACUUCCAGAAACUCAGAAUGUCAAAAAAAAAAUAUUGAAAAUGAAGAACAAAGUUGGAGGACUCAUACUUACUCAUCUCAAACUUACUUCAAAAUAGUAUCAAGAUAGUAUGGUACUGGCAUAGAGACAUCUAAAUCAAUAGAAUAAGAUUGAGAGUUUAAGAAUAAACCCAUAUCUAAAUAGUCACAUGAUUUUCAACUAGCCAAGAUAAUUCAACUAAGUUGCCAAGAAUAGUCUUGUCAACAGAUGAUACUGGUACAACUGGAUAACCCCAGGUGAAAGAAUGAAGUUGGAUCACUACCUCAUACCAUAUACAGAAACUAACUCAAAAUGGAUCAUUGACCAUUUUGACCAUUGGACUAUAAAAUUCUUAAAAGACACUAAGAGUUACUUCACUACAAAACUCUAAGAAGAAAACAUAGAUGUAAAUCUUCAUCACCUUUUGAUUUCCCAGAUGUGACACCAAAAGCACAAAAGCAACAAAAAAGUCACAUACCAGGUGUGGUGGUGCAUGCCUAAAUCCCAGCAACUGGGGAGGCUGAGGCAGGAGGAUUGCAAGUUUGAGGCCAGCCUCAGCAACUUAAUGAGACCCUGUCUCAAAAAAUUAAAAGGGGAUGUAGCUUAGUGGGGGAUCACCCCUGGGUUCAAUCCCCAGUACCACACAAAAAAAGUUAGAGUUAACAUAUGGCCCCCCAAAUUCUACUCCUAGAUACAUAACCAAAAGAAUAAAAAACAUAUGUCUACACAAAAGUUUGUAUAUGACUGUUCACAGCUGUAUUAUUGAAAAUAGCCCUAAGUGGAAACAACUCAAAUUUGUCUAUCAACUGAUGAAUAGAUAAAUACACUUUGAUUUCCAUACAAUGGAGUGUUGUUCAGCAAUAAAAAGAAUGGGGUACUGAUACAUAAUACAACAUGGAUAUACCUUGAAAACAUUAUGCUAAGUAAAAAAAAUUCAGAAAUAAGUGCUGGGGUUGUAACUCAGUGGUAGUCUGCCGCGCAACCAGCACGCUAGCUUCAUACUAGAGGUCCUAAGCAUAGAAGUUAACUAGUGAGAUCAAAAUAAAGACACAUAACUCAAUUUACCUUUUUCUUCCCCAGUUCAGAGACAGCCCUUCCUGGCUCCUGCCUCGAGCCACCUGGUGGGGUAGCGAGAUUUAUAUAAGAGACUAGCAGGAGAGAGGGGGAACACGCCAGAGAGUUGGCUUUUAUUGGGGAAUAAGAAAUUCAGGGGAAAAUUCCAUCCAAUGAAGGUCAACAUUCCAAGGUCAGGGUCAGUGAUUGGUCUCAGGGUCAAUGGUCAGUCACACCCCCACACAGAUGGGCUCUCGAACCUAAAGAGGGUGGGGAUAAGUUCUGACAUAGCUUGCCAGAACACCUCACACCCAGUCAGGGAGGUGCCCAAUCAUGGGUGAGAAUGGCUUCCCACAGUAGAGCGCUUACCUAGCACAUGUGAGGCACUGGGUUUGAUCCUCAGCACCACAUAAAAAUAAAUAAAAUAAAGGUAUGUGUCCAUCUAAAACUAAAAUAAAUAAAUAAAUAAAUUCAGAAAUAAAAGGACCCAAAUUAUGUGAGUAUAUUUAUAGGAAAUGUUCAGAUAGGCAAAUCCAUAGACAUAGAAAGUAGGUUUGUAGUUGCCUGGGGAAAAAGAGCUAGUUUAGGCUACAGAGUUAUAGAAAGGGGUAAAAAGUUUCUUUUCAGAAUGAUGAAAAUUUUCAGCAAUUAGAUAAUGGUGAGAGUUGUGCAAGUCUGAAUAUGUUUAAAAUCAUGUGAUUGCACACUUUAAAAAAAACAUAAGAGGGGGCUGGGGUUGUGACUCAGUGGUAGAGUGCUCACCUAGCAUGUGCGGGGCACUGGGUUCGAUCCUCAGCAUCAUAUAAAAAAUAAAAUAAAGGUAUUGCAUCCAACUACAACUAAAAAAAAAUAUUAAAAAAAAAACACAAGAAAGAUCAU